GCCUGAGGCCUCGCCUUGGUCCCAUGUGCAAUCUCAGCCCCAUCACCUUGGUCCUGCCCCAGCGCCAUGUGCAGAGACAGCCUCCAUCUUUCUGCAUAUCCAGACCCCCUGCUGCUGCUGUGUUCUGCAUGGAGAAGCCUUCACAGAAGGUGGACAGUGAGCGAGAAGCCCAUGAUGCUGGCAUGGUGGUUCCGGCCGCCCUGUGAAUUCAGUGGGUAUCACUUCCAUUGCCCAGGAGCGAUGCCCUCACCGCACAAACC
rnacentral:lncRNA from 1 species